GAAAGAAGAAGAACGGCUGACGGAGACUAACGUUGUACCUGUUUACUUGUUACAUGUAUUUAAGCCCGCAGUUUCCACCCCCCGUGUUCCGCCCACUGCCACGUCCCUUUCUUUGGCUCGGCUGUGGCUCAUCUCGGCGAUCGCUUCUGGCUGGGUCAAACGCUUUGGCGCUAUGGCGCUUCCACGACACAUCGUCUGUCUUUCCGGUUACCAAACUGGCCCCCAGAUGAUUCUUGUCUCAACACAAACGUUGUCAUUUCAGCACGCUCCAACGGUGACCCGCCACCAACCCUGACACCUCCAAUCUACAGCAGAACCUGGCAUAGGAGAGUUAUGCAACUUGGGCUCUACCACCACCACCACCACCACCAGUGUCUGGACUCCCAAGGGGGGGAUAUGCCUCGUCUCGGCUCGAGUUCCCGGCCCCGGGUCUAUCCUGCGGCAGGAUGGAGUCCAAGCC
ensembl:lncRNA